rnacentral:lncRNA from 1 species
CUUGUCCAAGAUGAUGAUACUCCUGCCCUGUCACCUACUCUCUUGUGAUUACCAUUUGCAUGGGAUAUCUUUUUCAUCCCUUCACUUUCAGCCUAUGUGUGUUCUUAAAUCUAAACCUCUCAUAAGCCGUAGCAUGUCCUGAAUCUUACUGGCUUCGAUUAAAGGGCUAUCAUGACAGUUGGACUGGUGGCUUCAUAAGAAGAGGAGGAGAUGCUAGCCCAGUCUCUACAAAGUAAAACAAAGAAAAGAAAAGAAGAGAAGGAGAGACCCAAGUGAGCCCAUUCAAUCCUCUAGUCAUAUGAUGCCCUGCAUCACCGUGGGACUCCUCAGAGUCCACACCAGCAAG